AGAGAUAGUGGAGGCGGGAGGGGGGUUAAAAAAAUUUUUUAAACCCCCUCCCGCCUCCACUAUCUCUAAUUGACCCCU